rnacentral:rRNA from 1 species
UACGGAGGGUGCAAGCGUUUAUCCGGAUUCACUGGGUUUAAAGGGUGCGUAGGCGGUUAGAUAAGUCAGUGGUGAAAGCUCGCAGCUUAACUGUGAAACUGCCAUUGAAACUGUCUGACUUGAGUACGAUUGAAGUGGGCGGAAUACAACAUGUAGCGGUGAAAUGCUUAGAUAUGUUGUAGAACACCGAUUGCGAAGGCAGC